rnacentral:tRNA from 1 species
GGAUGUAGCUCAGAGGCACAGCGCCUGCCUGGCAAGCACAAGGCCCUGAGUUUGAUUCUCAGUACCA